CUACCAUGCUCCCUCACGGUUCCCACAAUCCCCAGCACAGUAUGAUGUAUGGAUGUAUCAGUAUACUGUGCUGGGGAUUGUGGGAACCGCGAGGGAGCAUGGUAG